AUUGAACGCUGGCGGCAUGCUUUACACAUGCAAGUCGAACGGUAACAGGCCUUCGGGUGCUGACGAGUGGCGAACGGGUGAGUAAUGCAUCGGAACGUGCCCAGAGGUGGGGGAUAACGCAGCGAAAGCCGUGCUAAUACCGCAUGUGAUCUGAGGAUGAAAGCGGGGGACCAAGCAGCAAUGUUUGGCCUCGCGCCUCUGGAGCGGCCGAUGUCAGAUUAGGUAGUUGGUGGGGUAAAGGCCUACCAAGCCGACGAUCUGUAGCUGGUCUGAGAGGACGACCAGCCACACUGGGACUGAGACACGGCCCAGACUCCUACGGGAGGCAGCAGUGGGGAAUUUUGGACAAUGGGCGCAAGCCUGAUCCAGCAAUGCCGCGUGCGGGAAGAAGGCCUUCGGGUUGUAAACCGCUUUUGUACGGAACGAAAAGGCUCUGGCUAAUACCUGGGGCUGAUGACGGUACCGUAAGAAUAAGCACCGGCGAACUACGU
rnacentral:rRNA from 1 species